CCCGCGGUGAGAACUGUGAGGAGAAUAAAUGAGGCAAAGCCCUGAAUGCCGGGAGCCUUCCCUGGGUCUCGACAUGUAUGCUCCAGGAAACCCUCUCCACGCUCAGCUCCUAGUUUAGAGCCGGAAUUUGUGAAACUUCAAAAAAUUAAAUAUAAAACCCGAAUCUAGAAUUUGCCAAGAGACCGGGUAGUCCAACCCCCACCUCAGCCGGUUUGCGCCGCCCCGCCAGCUUGCCCCGAGGCUGCCGGAGAAGAACUUUCAGAUUCCUCCAUGGGAGUGAAGAUGAAACAAGUAGAGAGUGGACCUGCACACGAGCCUCCUGCCGCGCCACAUUCUCCUGCGGCUUUCGAGCUGGGGACAGGGUCCACCUACACCACAGGCCUCCCCUCGGGUCGUGAAGGGCCUUUGCUGCUGGGCACAGGCGCUUCUUUUCCUCUCUGGAGCUUACGUUCAUUUCAACAAACCUUUACUGGGCAUUUCCUUUGCACCAGGCACUGUGCGAGGGGCUGGACACGGCGACUUCUCAAAAGACCUCCCCGACAAGGUGGUUGCAAUCCAAUGGGGGACGGGAGAGGUAGCGACAGGCAAAAACCCACGUUUGAAAGUAAUGGCUGCGAGUAGAGGCUCCAAGGGUUGGGGGAAAUUCAGCAGAGCCGUACUGCAUUUGAAAAGGGGCUGGAGAAGCUUCCCUGAAAGCUCUGGAGAUCGAACUCGACCUUGCAACGUGGGAAGGUUGUAGAGGGUGUGGGACCGAAGGAGCCCAGUGGGCAAAGUUUAGGCCGAGGGAGAGGUCGGUAAGAAGGCGCAGUGCAAGUUAAGAAAAAGAACACACGGUCUUGGCGGACGCCUGGGGUGUGUGGGUGGAGCGGCCCAAAAGAAUCUUCAGAAACACCCUAUGAAGUUCGAACUUGAUUCUGUGAGCAAUGAGUAGCCCAUCCCCAACCAAGUGCCAAGGCAGGAGUCUUAAGCCUCUUAGUUGGAUAUAAUACUGUUUGUUUCUAUGAUCCCCAACACUGCCAAAAAAACCCAACAUAUGGUGCUGUCUGUGCCUUAUAGAUGGAGCCUGAAUCUUUGUGGCUGAGGAACUGUAGCUACAGCAGGUGGUGUGUGCGACAGUUGAAGGCUCUGUUAUGAGGCUGUCUUCAGGGAUGCUGCGGGAGCCCUCCUGCUUAAGUUUCCUCCGAGAAACUAAACAUCACAUCGGUUCUCCUGCUCUUUCAUAAAGAGCAUGUAGAAGAGCUUCUUCGUUUGAUCCCGUCAUUAAGAGAACACUAGAAGCCAUAUUUGUGCCCGCUACUCUGAGCUGGCUAAUUCUGAUUUUGAAAGUACUUUAAAAAAGCCAUUAACUCUCCAUGAAAUGUAGCAGGAAGAAAAGUUUUCAAGUGUUUUGUUUUCCAUUCAUUGGCCUUACAUUUCUUGUCUUGCCUCUC